AUUGAACGCUGGCGGCAUGCUUUACACAUGCAAGUCGAUCGGUAACAGGUUAAGCUGACGAGUGGCGAACGGGUGAGUAAUGCAUCGGAACGUGCCCGAUCGUGGGGGAUAACGCAGCGAAAGCUGCGCUAAUACCGCAUACGAUCUAAGGAUGAAAGCGGGGGAUCGCAAGACCUCGCGCGAUUGGAGUGGCCGAUAUCAGAUUAGCUAGUUGGUGGGGUAAAGGCUCACCAAGGCGACGAUCUGUAGCUGGUCUGAGAGGACGACCAGCCACACUGGAACUGAGACACGGUCCAGACUCCUACGGGAGGCAGCAGUGGGGAAUUUUGGACAAUGGGCGCAAGCCUGAUCCAGCAAUGCCGCGUGCAGGAUGAAGGCCUUCGGGUUGUAAACUGCUUUUGUACGGAGCGAAAAGGUUCUCUCUAAUACAGGGGGCUCAUGACGGUACCGUAAGAAUAAGCACCGGCUAACUACGUGCCAGCAGCCGCGGUAA
rnacentral:rRNA from 1 species